AGGCAGUUUUAAAGUUUGUGGACCCCACGUUUUUUUGGUUUGGUUUGAUCACAAGUUUUCGAGUUUUGUUUGAUUAGGGUUUUAUUGAUCUCCUUCUUCGACCCUUCAACGGUCGCGUCUUCGCUGGUUUUAAUCUGCAAUCAGACGAUUUAUUUUCUCAAUUCUUAACCUCUCUUAUGAUGUUGUUUCCCAAUCAGCCAAUUCAUUCUAGACUGCGCCGGCCGUGCCGCAGCACCUUAACCACCAUAAUCUGAAGGUCCAGGCGGUGGUGGAGCUCCGUAAGGCUUCUCCUUUGUCAGCAUGUAGUCCCCUGAUGUAGCAGGCGCGGAAAGAGAAGAAGGAGGAAGUGCGCCGUGGGGCACCGUACGGCGGAUUGUUUCUGCUGAAGGAGUAAGGUGGCGGUUGAUUUCCACCACCGUAGCCCGCUGGAAACGAAAAGGUAAACACUUUGCAAAAGAGAUCGAAAAAAGAAUGAGUUGACAAUAAAGGUCUGUUUCUUUUAGUUUCUGAUAUGUUUUAGGAAAAAGAAACCAAGAAAGAAGCUUUCAGGAAUUAUUUAGAGUUCGGUGGAGUUAGGGGCUUUUAGGAAGUAUUUGUUAUUGAUUCUCUCACCAAAGGUAUUGUUUCUUUUUCUACAUUACACCAUCACUAAAAGAAACUGCAACCGUUUCUGUAUCAAAUAGUUUGAUCGUUUCCUGACAUAAUAAUUUGAUUUAUACUCUUUUGUAUGUUCUGGAACACAAUGUGGGUUUCCAAUUUACUUCUGGUUGUUUUGUAUGAGCAGAAUGACAAGUCUUCCUUCCUGUACUUUGUUUCUAACCAAUAUGUACCCAGAUUCAUUCAGCAAAAUCUAGGAGGUCUUUCAGUUUCUGAUUACGAGAAGCUUCAAGCUGAGAAGUCUAAUCUUCAAAUAAAGUAUAUGAGCUAUUUGCUAAACAUCAAGAAACGUUGAGAGAGGUAUAUCCAAAAGUAUUCAGACUUCAUGUGAAUUAUUCUUCUGCUUCUUGAUGGGAAGAAUUCUGUAAUCCACACUUUCAUCCCUGCAUUCAAUGAUUUAAAACCAACCAAUAUGGUCACCUGUCUAAAAAAAAGACCACCCAUUCGUCAUAGGACGUUUCAUGCUUUCCACAACGAUCACACUAUUUGACAAGUCUUACGGUGAGGGGUUCUGGGGAGGACUCACACUCCACUUGAACAUGAGAUGUUUUCAAAUUCCAGCAUGCUCUUGUAUCUCCAGUGUCCAGCCAGUGCUGUCAACCCCGGUUCAUCGUUGUCAUUUCUGGAGAAGUUCUGCCAAGAUAUUUCAGCUCAGGAUGGGUAUUUGCUCAGUUUCAUGAACCAGAAGUCGCCCAGUUCUUUGCAACAUUUGGCGCUAACCUCACAAUUGCAUGGAUGGAAGGUAUAUUCUUUCAUAACAUUAAGUUAUGAAUAUUAAUAGCUCAUGCAGAAACUUGAUCGUACACUGAUUCUUUUCGAAAUCUGUAAUAGCUCAGGAAGACAAUAGGAGCUCGGUAAAGCUUCCAUGAAGCGGAGAGAGCUUGAAUGGUCUGAAGUAAAAAGCAGUCUUGCUCAGUAAUUAACGGCUUCACAGAUCCCAUGUUCUUUGGAUGUGAGUGACAAUGGACGAUUGGAGAAAAAGACAAGCAUCUGGGCGGAGCAGCGAGGGCAAUUAGCGUCACCUCUGCUGUACUAUAAUUAUCACCUCCGCAGACGCCCUGGAGUCAUAAAUACGACGAGAGAAGGAGGAGAACACGAAAGGGGUUACGGUGUUGGAAGGUCAAGCUAAAUUUAGUUGUUACCUAUCACUAUCAGUGUCCACCACCGAUGCAAUGGCCAAUCGAAUCUCAAGUUCAUUUUAAGGAAAUGGUCUCAGUCAUAAGACUGUUAUGAACAAUCGAUUUCAAAAUAUCAACAUAAACUUAGGAUAAUAAAUUUCUCUCGAAUGCAUUAUUUUUUAAUCAAAAUUUGAUCCUUUUCAAA